UGGCACAGAAUAGAAAGUGAUGUUCUGUAUCUUUGGCUUGCACAAAUAAUAGAGGUCGACUCUAGGGUCAUCCCCUUUGGGUGUGCUAGUCAAAAAUAGCAUGCCGUUCAGCUCCUUUUGACAGGGGUCGACCCUUUUCUUUAAACUUGAUUUUCUCUCAAAAUAUAUAUCCAAAAAAUAUGAAAUUACCUCCAAUAGAUCACAAAUCUUCUAUUCUUGCUCUUGAG
rnacentral:lncRNA from 1 species